ensembl:snRNA U6 U6 spliceosomal RNA
GUGCUCACUUCGGUAGCACAUAUACUAAAAUUGGAACCAUACAGAGAAGAUUAGCAUGGCCCCGUGCAAGGAUGACAUGCAAAUUUGUGAAGCAUUCCAUAUUUUU